AGCGUAGACGGACUGGCAAGUCUGAUGUGAAAGGCGGGGGCUCAACCCCUGGACUGCAUUGGAAACUGUUAGUCUUGAGUGCCGGAGAGGUAAGCGGAAUUCCUAGUGUAGCGGUGAAAUGCGUAGAUAUUAGGAGGAACACCAGUGGCGAAGGCGGCUUACUGGACGGUAACUGACGUUGAGGCGCGAAAGUGUGGGGAGCAAACA
rnacentral:rRNA from 1 species